GAUGAAGAACGUAGCGAAAUGCGAUAAGUAGUGUGAAUUGCAGAAUUUAGUGAAUCAUCGAGUCUUUGAACGCACAUUGCGCCCCCUGGUAUUCCGGGGGGCAUGCCUGUCCGAGCGUCAUUGCUGCCCUCAAGCACGGCUUGUGUGUUGGGCCUCCGUCCUCCUCCCGGGGGCCGGGCCCGAAAGGCAGCGGCGGCACCGCGUCCGGUCCUCGAGCGUAUGGGGCUUCGUCACCCGCUCUUGUAGGCCCGGCCGGCGCUUGCCGACACAUCAAUCUUUUUUCCAGGUUGACCUCGGAUCAGGUAGGGAUACCCGCUGAACUUAAGCAUAUCAAUAAGCGGAGGA
rnacentral:misc_RNA from 1 species